rnacentral:lncRNA from 1 species
CACUAUGGCUGAACCACAGAAAUCUGUCAAUCUGCAGAAUACUCCAUUCCUGUGUGUGUGACCUAUUAAACCAUGGCACUGAAUCAUUCAUGUGGCACUGCAAAUAAGAUGGCAUCGGGCAUUUAUGAAGUGAAUGUUGCUCAUCAUUGCUUGCUGAAUGUGUGACAGAGCUGGAGGGAGGAAGAACUUAGAUCUGACUCCUAACCCUAGGCCUGUUCAUUUCUGGAUUGACUGUGUCCUGCAUCAAAAGACUAAGCUGUUCCUGAGGCAACAAGGUAGGCUGGGAAAUCAAUAGUUAGGAAAAUGUUUUGGGAGAGAGCUAGAAAAUUGAUGGAAGAAUUUAGGACUGUAAUUCAUUUGCAUAAGAUGUACUCAUAACUGCAGUUUUGAUGAUAGUAUUUUCCUGCAGUCCCAUUGUUUGAAUCAGACAAAAUCAAAGGUAUUAUUCCGAAUCCAUGCAAAACUAGAUUUACUAAGCAGGAAUUGACUUUUUUCCUAGAGACAAGCAUAAUAACAUUCUAAACAUUAAAGUAGUUUUCC